UACAGAGGUCUCAAGCGUUGUUCGGAUUCAUUGGGCGUAAAGGGUGCGUAGGCGGCGCGGUAAGUCGGGUGUGAAAUCUCGGAGCUUAACUCCGGAACUGCACUUGAUACUGCCUUGCUAGAGUACUGGAGAGGAGACUGGAAUUUACGGUGUAGCAGUGAAAUGCGUAGAUAUCGUAAGGAAGACCAGUGGCGAAGGCGAGUCUCUGGACAGUUACUGACGCUGAGGCACGAAGGCCAGGGGAGCAAACGGG
rnacentral:rRNA from 1 species